UUCAACUCUGCCUCGAGGACAUUGUGGCCCGGGUUAAAACCUUUAUGGUGAGCUCCUAGUUCACACCUUUGAUCUUCGGGUCCCUUGUCCUCGACCCUCGCCGGCGGAUGCGACCCACCUCCGCGCCGUCAAGAACCGGCGACCUCCACCCUCACGUCCUGUCGCCCGGAGGCCAACUCCAUCUUCGGCGUCCGCUGGAGGUUCUUCACCGCGCAGAUUCUGACCCUCGGCACCGCGCUCCGGGAAUCUUCGGCGUCCGCUGGAGGUCCUUCACCGCGCAGAUUCCGACCCUCGGCGCCGCGCUCCGGGAAGACGUUCAUCACCGGACCUGCUACUGACCGGACCACUGCCGGCCGCCUCCACAAGCCGCUGAGUGUAUGCAUGUAUGGGGUGAAAACCCAAGAAAAGCUUGGGAUGGAUGGAUUGAUGGUGGUGCUACUGGAGGAGGCGGCGGCGGUUUGGGAGCGGCGACAGCUUGCUCUACCGCUCGGACGACGGCAGGAGCGGAUACAGCAUUUUGGCAGGUUGUUUCUGGGAGGCACUAAAAUAGGUACGAACCAUGCCAUGAACCCUUCACGACCACAGAUCGAAGCGCUGCUACAUGGCAAACUGUCGGUGCUAAUGGGAGGAGCUCGACCUGGCAUAUGGGAGGCACAUAGAACGAGCUAAUGCCGGCAACCACGCCCUCGAGCUUCUCCUUCGGCCACAGUUUUGACCACCUGCUCCUGCUAGAGACUACGUCCCUGAGUUGCUGCUAAGGUCCACCACUUCGAGCUGCUUCUGAUGCCUGAUGAGUUGAUACUGGAGCUUGGACGAUACAUUGAGGAGCUCAAGAAAACACAUGGUGCUAUUUCUGAAUUUGGAAAUCCGAAGUUCAAAGCAUAUUGGUUGCUCGACUUGGCCAAAACAACGAGGAGUUCCUCAUCUUAUUGUUCACUUGCAUACCCUGUGUUCUACUCACACUCCACCAAGCCACAUACAUGUCAUGCUACACUAGAUACUGAUACCAUUGGUAAAAAAAUUCCUUGCCUCGCGAAAACCUGGACUGGAAUAGUUACAACUUACAUUACAACGAGGGCCGAGCGGUUCCCUUCUUCUCGGCUCCCUCUUCUUGCUUCAUAGUUGCCUGCUACCGGUUACCGAGAGAUAGAUGAUGCGGCCGCCCAUGCUCUAAAGCCACUGCCGUAGAGCGUAGAAGCAGGUGCAGGUUCCGCUUGGUUUGGUGCUGGUGGAGGUGCUUCAGCUUGGCCUCGAGGACGUAGUGACCCAGCCUUGGUUAAAACCUUGGUGACCUCCUGGUUCACCCUUUUGAUCUUCGGCUCCCUUGUACUCACCAUGGCUAUAUUCGGAUGUGCUGACCCGCUGCGAGGCUUCAAAGGCUUGGAAUUAUGUAUGUGAUGGCUAUCUUGCCAUCUAAAUUCUGUUGCUAGGAAUAUAAUAUAUAUGCCUCGUUGUUUCAGGUCAUGAUGCGUCUAUGCUUGGAAAGCUAAUGGACCUGAUGAUUUUGUGUUGUAGCCUGAGCUUGCUGUUCUAUAGUUCUCCUCUCAAUCCUCGUGUUUAGUAUUGUGUGGUUUUUGAUCAGGUCCUGUUUUGGGAGUAUAGCUCAGUUGUUUUACACUGUUCUAGUUCUGGUUAAGCAAAUAGCAUAAGAACAAAAUUGGCUAUGACGUUCUCACUUUGUUUUUAUGCUUCCCUUUGAUGGUCUGGGAGUAUAGAUUUUUUAUGCUUCAUUUUGAUGGUCUAGCAGUAUAGAUUGGAAUUGAACUGAAGGAAGAAUGCUCCCAGUUUGAUCUAUAUAGUCUUUUGUUACUUGUUUACUUUUAUCAGGAAUUAACAUAUGGUUAUCCAAUUGUGCAGUUUGGUUAUUCCUAGGAGCGGUGUCCGUCUUCUUCAACUCUUGUGUUUGGUUGAGUUUCAGUACCAACUAAACAUUUCAGUAAUAAUAUCUUUCCCCUGUGACCUGCAGGUUCCGCCACUUGGGUCUGGUGCAUUUCCUGAUGUAUCGGCGUUGAGGAGGACGGAGGACGAUGCGGCCUGUCCUACCGUUGUCACCCAGCAUGCUCUCGCAGUGCUCCUGCGCUGGCUUUUGCAUGUGUGAUAUUGUUUGAAUGAAUUCUUGCAGUAUUCAGUGGCUAUAAAGUUGGAAUGAUCAGAAGUUGUAAUAUACAAUCAAAAUAUAUAGUUAAUACAUCAUUCUGUCCUUAAUUCAACUUGAGAGACCGAGUUGAAUUG